rnacentral:lncRNA from 1 species
UCAAGACAAAAACUAGGAUUUGAGUAUUUAGACGCUAAGAGGAACACGAGUCAAACCCGAAUGGACUCGUAAUGCUUGCACAUGGAAACAAACAAUCCGCAUGCUAAGUAUGGAAUACUCAAUGAUGCUAACAUAACCAAAAGCAUAAUAUAACAAAAUUAAGCAAUAUAACUUACUAAAGUAACAACAUAAUACAAUCAAAAGCGGCAUAUAACUUCAGCAUAUCAAUAUUAACACAAUUUAACAAUUCCUUUAACAAGCUAUCAAGAGAUCGAUACAAAUUAAUAGUUAUACCACUUGUGUCAUAGUUCAUUUCUCAUAUAGUCUAGUUAACACCAAUUGAUCAUGUUACUCAAACUUUACAACAUUAUACCAUAAGUCUUCAUUAAAAUUACAACCCAAUUAACCAAAUAUAGAUGCAAGCAUGGAUACAUAGAUUAACCCCUAACACUUCACAAUGAUGCUCACAAGUGCCAAUUAGGCAUAAAAGCUCCCAUAGAUGUAAAGACAUUCUCCUAACACUCCACAAUAAUGUACACAAGUUCUAACAAGUAUAUACGUGCAUAGGUUCCUAAUGAGAUGCACACAAGUGCCAAAUGCUUCCUCCGAUACCAAAUAAUAACUCUCUAAUUCUCUUCCGUACCCAUUCUUAGAAUGCCUCGGUUUGAGCAAUUCAACCCAAAACCAAAUUUAUCAAUGCCAACAAAAAAUCUAAUUGUUACAUAAAUUUUCUUCAACACCUUAAGAAUGUUUUUUUCUUUCUAAUUAAGAAACAACCCUUGUUUAGUGGCAUUUAACUCAUUUACAAACUUCUCAAUGUCUUCUUCAUUGUCACCUAUGACAAUAAUAUCAUCAAAAUACACGAGCAAAUACAUAGCUCCUUCGGUCAUAUUUCUUAUAAGCAAAUAUGCAUGUGGCUUAGAAUAUUUCUUGUAAGACCUUUACAAUUUCAAAGCAUCCUUUGUCAUAGUUGUUGGAUUUGGUGUAUUAAGAGUAGUAUAUUCGUUUUGUAUACUUAUAUUUUUCGAAGAAAUUGGUUUAAUAAAAAUAUCCAUAAAUUAAAUUAAUACCCUUAUAUACUGUCCUCAAUGGUUUUUGCACGCAGAACAAAAUGAAAGUAAAUAUUAACUCACUGGUUAUCUUAUGUUUAACUAAUACUAAGCAGUAUUACUUGGUUAGAUCGUAAUACGAAAAGAUAACAUAGAUUAGUAAAUGAAACUAAACAGGUCCUUAGUCUAAUUGGAAAUGAGCAAACUGAUUGAAAGACUAAUAUGCCGUCUACCAAGUCUAAUUGGGGAGAUUUUUUAUCUUGAGUAUUAGAGCGAAUGACUCCUAUAAGAUGAAGACAUAGAUGUGACUAACGGGACUGACAAUACAUUGACUAGGACCCAAGUAGAAUAGAUCCUAAAUUCGUUUAUGGAUUAUUCAUUUGUUACGUUUGUAAUGUGACAUACCUUAAUCCUAAGCAGAUGAUGAACUAUGUAUGCGUGACUCGUAUACUUUAAUAUAAGUAAAAGCUUGAGUUCAAAUAGAUAAGAAACUGAAAGUUGGUGCGUUGGGUAUAUGACUACUACAAUAUGUAGCAUCAUUUAAAAUAGUGGAAUUCAUAACCCAAGAAAUAGGUAAAUGAUAUCCUCUUAUUGGCAUUACAUGAUAGAUGAAAAGUAAACACGGUCGCAAGUCGUUUGUCUUUGUGAUAAAUGACUUAAUUACUAUUUGAUAAUAAUUAACUUUUCAUGAAGGAAGAGGUAAUGAUUACCAUGAGAUAAAGUAAGAUCAUAUUGGGAAAACAUAUUUAUCCUAAAGAGAUUAAUGAUAUUCUAUGAGAGUAACACAUUCAUGACAAGAUCAUUGGACGGGCACUGUUUGAAUAUCUUUUGUAAUGGUAAGUAAUUAGGGAGAGUUUAGUCACAAUACUAUAGUGGAAUGACUUCAUGACUAAAUGAGUUUAUAAUUAAUAGGCGAAAAGCUAGAGCUUAAUUAUAAAUCAUUUGAGCCCUAAUUAUAUAUGUCUAAUCAGUCCCUCUAAGUAUAGAAAUGACUUAGGAAUUAAUUUAAUUUUUUCAAAUUAUUAUUUAAUUAAAUAAUUGAAGUUCGAAAAUAGAAUUAAAUUAAUUAGUCACUGUGAACAUGUUGAAUAUGAGAAUUAAAUAUAUUUUCUCAUAGAUUCUUUUACGGUAAAUUUGUCAUGACUCUAAUAGUAUUAAAAAUUAGGUUGAGAAAAGUAUUUAAUUGGAAAAUUAAUUUAUCCAAUUAAAGUAAUUUAUAAAUAAGAUUUAUUUUGGAAAAUAGAAAUACAUGUAUUAGGUUGAAUUAAAUUAUAAAGUGUCAAGUUAAAGGUUCAAGAAACACAUAUAAUUGGACUUAAUACAAGAGAGACCUAAACUUCCCUUAUAUUACAUAUGAGGGGCAACAUUCUUAGUGUACUCGUCUAUUGGGAAAUGUGCCCAUAUUGUAGUAAACAUGUAACUGUGUUAUAUUUAUUUGAACGAUAAAUAAAUAAAUAAAAUUAAUUUCACAUUUCACUAUUAUAUCUUUUGUAUUUCUGUCUUUUAUAUUUUGCAUGUAUAGCGAAAUUGUGACAAACAAAUAUUAGCUUAUUGAUUUCUAAGUUCAAAUUGAAGAUAAAUGACAUUAUAAGAACAUUUACUGUACGAGAAAGAUAACUUGCUCCAGUUGAUAAUCUAAAUGAGUCCGUAAUCCUGUAAAAGAAUCAAAAUGAACAUUUGAUUCAAAUACUGAGAAGGAUUAUUAUGUCGUCUACAAUUCCAAUUAGGGAGAUGGCUAGUCUUGGCUAUCAAAGUAGUUGAUUCCACGAGUAGAGACAUAGAUGUAUUCAUUGGUAGAAUGAUACAUUGGACAGGACCCAAGAUGAAUUAAUUUUGAAUCCGUUUGUGAAUUAAUUCACUUGUGACGUUUAUGGUGUGAUUUACCUAAAUCUUGAGUUAGUCACUGAUAUAAGUGGAUGCUUAUGCUCUAACGAUGAUCGAGCCCAUAGCCGGUAUGUUGGGUAUAUGACUUAUCUAUGACAUGGCUUUACUAGAAACAGUGGAAUUCAUAGCUCAAUUAAAGAGUUAAUGAUAUCCUUUCAUUGGCAUUGUGUGGAUUGAUAAAUAUGGAAUGUGGCCAUGGGUUACUCGAUCUCGAACGAACAAUUUAUCACAGUCAUUUGUUGACAGUGAUCAUAUUAAUCGUUAAGAAGACACAAUGAUGACAAUGAGAUGAAAUAAGAUUGUAUUGAGUGAACAAAUUUAACUCAAAGGAAUCAAUGAUAUCAUAUGAGGAUAACACACACAUGACGAGGUCAUUGGACAAAACAAAUGGAUGAAUUGCUUUCAUAAAGAGUAUACAAUAAAGAGUUUUCAAUCAUGGUACUUCUUGUGAAUUGACUCCAUGAUUAAGUAAUUGCGAAUUACCGGAAUGAUACUUCUGGACAUAAUUGCAAUUACUAGAGUCUAACUGUAUAUGUUCGAUUGGUCCCAUCUGCUAGGUCAACAAAAGCUCGAUCGGACUGCAUUUGAAUUAGAAGAAAAUUCUACGACUUUGGAAAUAAUUUAAUUGAGUUUAUUUAUUUGAUGUGGAAUUAAAUUAGGUGGUCACGAGAAUUGUUCAACUAGAGAAUUUGAUUAAACAAUUUUCUUGAAAAAUUAAUUUGGAAAAUCUAAGUGAUUUUUGGAAAAUUUAAUUUUGAUAAAUGAUAAGUGUCAAAAGUAAUACAUUUUAAUCUAGUUCUUAAUGCAUUUUUGGGUGAUUAAUCAAUGAAAAAUGGUGAAUUUUAUGCUCCUAAUCCUUUAAAUUAAUGUUUCUAUACUUAGGAGAGAAUUUGGGAGCAAAACGAGCAAAAAUAAAGCGAAAAUUAGACAAUUUGAACAGAUUUCAGAAGUCACACGGGUUGGACAAACGGCCGUGUGAGCCACACGGGUUGCCACACAACCAUGUGUUAGACCAUGUAUAUUUCAUGAUUCGCACUCCAGAUACGACGAAAAACGCAAAUUUUAGGUUUUUCAAGAAUUUUAAGACUUAUAAAUACCAAAUAUAAGAAAAGGAAAGUCAGAGAAUAUUAAAGAAAAUAACUUGAAAAACACUGUUGAAGUCGACUCUGAAGUAGAUUUCUAUCAAGAUUGAAGAUCUCCUUUUAAUUUCUUUGAAGUUUUUAUGAGCUUCUUUAUUUCUUAUGGUUAUGAUGACUUUGAGAUGUUUUUAUUUGCGAUUACAACUAAUUUUCUAAAUACCUAGGGGAGAUGAACCCUAUGAUGAAUUUUGUCUUUUGAUUUUUGUUUUACGCAAUAAAUACUUGAAUCUUAUUCUCAGUUAUGUGUGCUUAAUUCUUGAUUUAAUAUUUCCAGAUUAUUAAUUCAUGUUUGAUGUGCUUAAUUUAGAGGAGGAAUAGACCCUAUUUAAGAUGUAGAUAUAGCAUAACUGAGUGGAGGUACAUGCAAUCCUAGAAAUAGGACAACAUAAAUCUACUGGAUUAGAGUCAAAUCUAAUAGGGAAUCCAUAGAUCGAGUUAAUUUGAUAAUAGUGGUUUUAAUUAGAAAGAAAUUUCAAUUAAUCAAGCUAAAGUCAGUUGCUUUUAGUCUUGAAGAGAGAUAUUAGCAUAAUUUAAGGAUUUAUAUGGAUCAAGAUAUUAAGUGAAUAAAUUGUUUAAUUCAGAUUGAUAACGAUAGAUGCAGUCUAGGUAGAUUCUUUCCUGUGUAUUGUUUCGGUUCUUGGUUAUUAUUAAAUUAUUUUCCUCAUUUGCUCUUUGCCAAGUUCUUAGUUAAUUGAUUUAGUUAAUUUUAGUUUAAUUCAAUCACUUCGAUUUGUCGAUUGGAUAAUAAAAAGAUGGCAAUUGCUAGUACUUUUAGUUCUCAUGGGAACAAUAUCUUUUCUCACUAGAGCUAUACUAUUUAUCGAUAAGUGCACUUGUCUUUGUCGUAUUUUUAGUUGGUUUUCUGGACAUCAAUAAAGUAAAAUUAAAUUAAUCAAAAUUAAUAUGAUAUUUUUGGAAAUUAAUUUUUAAGUCAGACGAUUAGCCCAAUGGGUAAUUGAACUUGAAAAUUGGACAUGAGAUUGUAAAUUGGGCUCGAGAGCCCAAAAACGAGACUAAAACCAGAAAACUGGUUGAACUGGUGGCUAGACCGAACUGGUUGGGUCAUCUCUAACCCAGACCGAAUCAACAAUCUAACUGGUGGCUAGACCGGACUCGUCACGUCGUCACUGACCCAGACCUAACCGAAAGUAACCGAAUUGACUCGGGGUGUCGUAAAGGUGUCACACUUGCAUCAUCAGACAUGGCGAUGUUGGCAGCCACGACAGCGAUGUUUUGGUGGCUAGUGGUGGUUGGUUUUUGGUGGUUGAGUAGUGGAAGAGUUACACUCCUACUAGGACUUUAUCAGAGAAUUUGAUUUUAAAUUAAUUAUUCCAAAAAUAAUAUUAUUUUAAUAGUUUAAUAUUAAAUUUAAUUUAAUACUUAUCUCAAUAGUAUUUUAUUAAUUUAAUAUUAAAGUGAUUGUCUUAAUAUUAAAUUUAAUUUAAUGUAUUCUAUUAUUUCAAUAAGAUUUAAUAUUAAAACGAUUAAAUUUAAUCAUAGUUAAACUCUCUAAACUCUCCCUAUAUAAAGAGAGCCAUGUGUUAUUAAUUUACACACUUGAAUUCAAGAGAAAGUUGUAGAGAGAAAAUUCUCUAAAGAGAUUAUUUCAAGAAAUUUCUAGAAAUAUUUUUCUGAUUUACAAUUUGACCCAAAAAUUUAGAGAAAUUGCAAAAUUACCCCACUAGUAAUUUUUGUGAAAAAUUUUCUUAUUCGAAGCGAACCCACACUUGGCAGACGUGAGCUUGAGGAUAACAGAGAAGACUACUCGGUCGAAUCGCCCAUGCUAGACGAAUAAAAAAGGUACAAUUUUAAUUAAGUGUUUAUUACUUUAGAUAUCACAACCAAAACCUUAUUUUGGAAAAGUUGUUAAAACUUUGUUUUCCCUAAAUUCAUUUUCCGCUGCGUUUUCGAAACCCAGUUUUUUCCAACAGUGCCACCCCCUCUUCUAGUUAAACUAGAAGACUAGGUUUUCUAUUAAAUAAAUAUUAUUUGUGUUUUACUAAUUCAACUAGAAUUUUCAUAUCUCCCCCAAUAAAUAAAUGACACUAGUAGAGCUAUUUAUAUAUAUAAGAGUUCAUAUAAGUUUUCAAUAUUGUUAUUUUGCUAGAAAAUAGCGAUAAUUUAUUUUCUAUGUGUAAAUUCUAUUUUCUAGGAAUAAUAAUUCUACUAGUUUCAAUUGAGAGAGAAUUGUUUUCCUACUGAAAGUAAUAAAUCUUUUUUGGUUCUAUAUUUGGUCCGUGAUUGUUUGAGCCCACAAUCGAAGCAAUUUGUGGUACGAGAAUAGCGAAGAAUUUUCAAAACUUUAAUUUUUCGCUGUGCAGAAAAUCAUUUUUAAACCAAAAUUUUCCAACCAUAAUUGGCCAAAAGUAUCCUACCAUUUGUAGUAAACGAUGCAAAGGUGAAACUUCCUCCCCUCGCUACUAUUAAUGAUCAUCUUUCAACCUUUAAUUUGCCUCAUUACUGGAUGUACACCUGGAUAAAACUCCAACAUUUCUAUGAUAUAAAACACCAUGAAUCAAAACAUAAUGCAUUAAACUUGGAAUGCUACUAAGAGUAGGUUGAUGUAGUUGUUCCAUGAUGGGUACACACUAGUAUUUAUCACCUUCAUAUUCUUGAGGUUGAAGUAAGUCCGUAUUUGAACAAGUUAGGCCUUUUCUAAGCAUUGUCAUAGUAAUGCUUUCAUUUUUUUAGCAUAUGUAUUUUUAAGGACAAAGUAGCAACAGCAUCCACAUACUCAUUUGUAAAUCUCAGACUGUAUUCACAUCUCACUUUAUGGAACCUCUUCUGUAGGGAUUGUACAAGAGUGUUGUAGGGAUCUAACAUAGGUUCCUUUAAAGAGAACUCCCUACUAGAUUCCUUGAUAAUUAAAUAAGAAUCCCAGUAAAUGAAAAAGUUAUUAAUCUAAUGGUAAGUUCAACAAACAUCCCUAAAAAAGGUGUCUCAUGAUUUACCUAAUUGUUGGUGCAAAGAAAAUCCAAUUAAAAGGCCAAGGAGAUUAGUCUUCUACUUGAUUUUAAGGAGAUUAACUUUAGACCUAAAAUCAAUGAGUUCCAUUCUAUGCUGGCCUCAACACCCAAGGAGAAGCUUCUUCUAUUUGGUGGAGAGAAGCUUAACUCAAAACUCUCCCCCAAGGAAUCAACCUCUGGAGGUAUUACGACUAUUCCAACACCUCUCCCUAUCAAAGUAUAAGUUCCAUUCUCCUUUUUCUAUACCCAAAACACAUGUCGCUUCAUGUAAUUCAGUAAGAACUGGAUUUUGCUAACAAAUUAGAUAACGCCUGAUACUUGAUAGCUGUAACAACUUGAUUUUCAGUGGUGUCGAAAAAAAUCGUAAAUGUAACACCCCUAACCCAUCUCCGUUACCAGAUUAAGGUUACAGAGUGUUACCAAGCAAAAAAAGAUAUUUCACAUCACUUCAAAACAGUUAUUCAAAUAAUUUUAAAACAUACAAUACAUAGUUCCAUUCAUACUACAAAUACUCUAAUAUUUAAAACAUCAAUCACAUGUAAACUAAUAUAUAUAAUUUAAUUUCAGAACUCUAAGAGGAUAUAUUUGUGAACUUCAAACAUAUAAUAGGAUGAAGUCUCAAAAACAUUAAGCUUUAAAACUAAAAUUAAAGUUUCGAUGUUGGUAUCGAUACUCAAUCGAUACCUUUCAGGAAAACCAAUACCAAAAUUCAAUUACGCUUUCUUUGCAAAACAAUGGUAUCGAUAAUUAGUUGAUGGUAUCAAUAUUUUAUGAAAAAGUAUCGAUACUCAAUUGAAAAUAGAUACCAUUUUGGCAUUUCAUUUUGUUUAAGUACUGUUCAUUUGGUCAAGUAUCAAUACCAAAUGCCAAAGCAUCGAUAUUUAUCCCAAUAAUGGUAAAAAUCUCAUCUUAGCAAAUUUAAUUCAUGCCAAAAAGUUACCUAACCACAAAAGACAAUAAUUUUAUCCAUUCAAACACCUAAAUAACUAAUCAUAUGCCAUUCAAAGGCACUAGAAUCAAGAUUAUUCAUUCAAAUAACUAAGCUAUUAAAAACAUUUAACAUUAGCCACCUAUUAAAAAUUCAAUUAUUAAACCAAAUGACCAAAAUAAAAGUAUGCAUAAAAGCUUACCAUACCAAAGCACUAAAAUCAUAUCUUAACCUUAAAGAUUCAUCUAACCACAAAGCAUCUUAAAUAAACAUCCAAAGCUAAUCAUUCAACAAGAUAUAACCUUGAAACAAAACAUUUGACAUAUUAACAACAUAAAGCCUAUAUAAAAGCCACACCUCAAAACAAAAAUAGCAAAAGCUACCAAAUAACUGGAUAGUGUGAGCCUUCAGUCGAUCUAUCCAAUCAGUCCACAAUUUGGUAACUACAAAAAAACAAAAAACAAAGACAGGUAAGCUAAUGAAGCUUAGUAAGUUCAUAGUUUGAAUCAUCAACUAAACUUACAUUCAUUGUUAUUAAAAUAUAAAGAGAUAACAUACAAUUCCUGAUAGCCGAAUACACAUCCACAAAUUACAUUAAUUCAUGAUCACAUAUCAACAUGUAAUAUGAUAUUCCUCAUCACAAAUAAAUCACCAAUUCCAUAUUCAACAUGUCAUCCAAAAUAAGUGAGCUCAUAAACAAAUAAAUAUUUCAUUGAACAUUUAAAACUUUAAAAAAUCUUGAUACUCAAACCAAAGGCAUCAUAGAUGCAUAACAGAGGCACUGAAGUGCAAACAAAGGCACGAAUGUGCGAUCAGAGGCACCGAAGUGCAAACAAAGACACCAAAGUGUGACAGUGUAACACCCCCUACCCGAGACCGUUGCCGGAGUCAUUAAAUUAAUUAUAACUGUUCACUAUUCACAAUAAUUUAUUUCACUAUUCACAAUAAAACUGUCCACCUGCACAACAGUCACUAAAUUAAUUAUAACUCGAGCUAAAAAACUCAAAAUUUAGAUCCGUGAAUUUUCCCUGAAACUAGACUCAUAUAUCUUUAUACCAUAAAAUUUUUCAGAAUUUUUGGUUCAGCCAAUUAGUACAGUUUAUUAGUUAAAUUCUCCCCUAUUUCACUGAUUGACUGUCCUAACCUCUCGUCACUAAAAUUUAAUUAUCUCAUUGUACAGACUUCAUAUGGUCUUCUCACUUGUUUCUAAAGAAAAUAGACUCAAUAAGGAAUCUGGAUAUAUAAAUUACAACUCAUAAAUAUUUUUGUACAAUUUUUAAUGAUAUUACAAAGUUAGAACAGGGGAUUCCAAAAACCACUUUGACCUUGUUUAACUAAAAUGCAAAUAUCUCAGAAUACAUAAUUCCUUUGUCUACAUUGUUAUUUUUCUAUGAAAAUAGACUUAAUAAUACUUGAUUCUAUAUAUCAUUCACCCUCUAAUUCAUUUUAUACUAUCCUUGAUGAUAUUUCAAAAUCACGUCACUACUGCUGUCUCAAAACUGAUUCACUGCCAAUUUUUACUUUUUCAUGAUUUCUAUGCAUAAUUUAUCACCUAGACUUUUAUAACAACAAACACCUUCAUACUUAGCCAUUUUAAUAACUAUUCAUCAUCAAAUAUUUACAUAUCAUAUUUUGGUCAUAAUUUAAGAAUAUACAAUAGAAAUGACUAAGUCCCUAUACAUGCCAUAGCUCGAAACAUUUAUCGUCUUAAAAUGCCAAGUUGUGGUGGUUGAUAGUGUGAACGCUCUCCGAUGUCUUCAAGAUCCCGACUAUGCUUGAUAAUAUUAUAUGAAAGAAAAAGAAAUAAAAGAAGUAAGCAUAAAGCUCAUUAAGUUUACAAGUAAAUAAAUAACAACAUUUAACACAAAUAAUGAUAUGCAAGUAUCAUGUUCUUAAGUUUCCUCUUUACUUACUCUUAUUUACUUGUUUAUUUACUUACCUAUUUAGUUAGCUUAAGAUUACAACUUACUCUUCUCUUGCUGAAAUGUUGGUUCUCACUGAUAUCAUAACAUAUUCUUACCUCUUAUAACUCACCUGAAGUUGCUAAUUAUACUUUUACUUGAACUUCCAUAGAACAUAAUCUGUUUUCUAGCCCGUUGAGCCACAUUGGAAUAAUAAGGAUACUUGGGUCUCUUUUCUGAUAAUAACAUGCCAAAGCCACGUCCCAGACAUGGUCUUACAUGAGAUGUUUCUUGUACUGCCAAUGUCAUAUCCCAAAUAUGGUCUUACAUGGGAGUUCUCAUAUCGGUGCCCAUGCCAUGUCCUAGAGAUGGUCUUACAGGGGACCUCUCAUCUCGGUGCCAACGCCAUGUCCCAAACAUGGUCUUACAUGGGACCUCUCAUAACCUCAAUGAUGCCAAUGCCAUGUCCCAAACAUGGUCUUACAUGGGAUCUCUUUACCCAAAUGCCAUGACAUUUGUAUCCAAUACACUCCUAAUGUUUCAACGGGGCUUUUAUCACUGAUUCUUUGUCAUCUCAUACUUAAGUCAACAUUAAAUAAUUUCAUGAAAUAAAUACAUAAUUGCUGGAAAAUAGCAGCAUUAAUAAUAAUUAUUAAAAUAUUGCAUUCAUUUACCGUAAACUUACAUCGGUACAAAAUUUGACCAAAUCUAGCAACUUAGUCCACUAUCUUUUUCUUUCCCCGGUCUAACUCUGAAUUUUUCUCUUCUUGAUCUAUAAUAGAAAAUUUAGCUUAUUUAAUAGUCAUAUUCAUCAAAACAAUCCUUGACUCGAACUUUGGAAAAAUUAUGAUUUUGCCACUAAACUUUUGCAUAAUUACACUUUUACCCCAAAGCUCAGAAAUUAAACUUCAUCUCUUAUUCUUAUGUUUUAUGGCAUGCUGAACAUUUUUCCCUUCUACGACAACAUCAAAUUCCCACUCUAGCAUGUACUAGUGAACAUUAGGUAUUUUUACCAAUUAUGUCAAUAUACUCCUUUUCACUUAAAAUCGACUAGAAAAAGUUGUUUAACAUAAUUUCAAGCUUCAUAUUAUACCAUAAAACAUCAAAAUAAACACAUUUCACCAAUGGGUAUUUUUCCAAAUAUAAACCCUAGGUUAAAUUAUUGCUAGAAUAAGCUAAAUCAAGUUACCGGGACUCUACAAACGUAAAGAACAUUAAGAACGGGGCUUGAGGUCACUUACUAUGGAGCUUGGAAGCUGGUAAACCCUAAAUAUGGCUUCCCCCUUGCUAUUUUCAUUCACCAUGGAGAAGAUGAGCACAUUUUUCCAUCUUUUUCCCUUUCUAAUUCUUUUUAUUACUAAAUAACCAAAUUGUCCCUAACUUAAAAAUUUCCAUUUUUGUCUACCAACUUAAUAAAUGGUCUAAUUUCCAUAUAAGGACACCCAAUUUAAAGUUUCAUAACAAUUGGACACCUCUAACAAGUAGAACUCAACUUUUGCACUUUUUACAAUUUAGUUCUUUUGACUAAAUUGAGUGCCCAAACGUCAAAAUUUUUGAACGAAAUUUUCACGAAAUCUUUCCGUGAAAUUGUAGGCCAUAAAAAUAUAGUAAAAAUAAAUUUUCCUCAUCAGAUUUGUGGUCCAGAAACCACUGUUCCUACCAUGGCCAAAAUCGGGAUGUUACAUUUUUCCCUCAUUUUAGGGAUUUUCGUCCCUGAAAAUCUUACCUGUGAAGGGAUUUGGGUAUUGUUUUUGCAUAGCCUCUUCGGGCUCCCAUGUAGCCUCAUCAACCCCAUGCCUAUUCCAUAACACCUUCACAAGUGCAAUACUCUUGUUCCUUAGUUGCUUAAUCUCUCUAUCUAGAAUUUUUACCGGUUCUUCAACAUAAGUCAUGUCUGCCUGAAUCUCAACCUCUAUCGGUGAGAUCACAUGUGACGGAUCGAAACAGUAAUGACGUAACAUAGACACAUGGAAUACAUUAUGAAUCUUCUCUAACUCAGUUGGCAAAGCUAAUUGAUAUUCUAAGGGCCCGAUUCUUUCAGUCACCUCAAACGGUCCACUGAAACGUGGACUUAGUUUGCCUUUCUUACCAAAUCUGAAAAUUUUCUUCUACGGGAAUACUUUCAAAAACACUUUGUCACCAACUUGAUACUCUAUCUCUUUUCUUUUUAAAUCUGCAUAAGACUUCUGUCUAUCUGAAGCUGCUUUUAAACAAUCUCUAAUAACUUUUACUUUCUCUUCCGUUUCUUUGACUAAAUCAACCCCAUAAAUUUGAUUUUCCUUAAGUUCUGUCCAAUAUAAAGGCGUACGAAAUUUACGUCCAUACAAAGCUUCAUAAGGUGCCAUCUUCAAACUCGACUGCUAACUAUUAUUAUAGGCAAACUUUACCAAAGGCAAAUAUUUCUCCCAACUGCCUUGAAAUUCUAAAACACAACAUCUGAGCAUAUCUUCAAAUAACUAAAUAACUCUCUCUGACUGACUAUCGGUCUGAGGAUGAAAAGUUGUACUGAAAUUUGACUUUAUACCCAAAGCUUCCUACAAUUUCCUCCAAAACCGCGAUGUAAAUCUCAGAUCUCUGUCUAAGAUAAUCGAUAACGGUACUCCUUGUAGUCUAACUAUCUCUGAAACAUACAAUUCAGCCAACUUGUCAAGUGAAUAAUCCAUACGAACCGAGAUAAAAUGAGCUGACUUAGUUAGGUUAUCAAUCACAACUCAUACUGCAUCUUUCUUUUUCGGUGUCAACGGCAACCCUGCUACAAAAUCCAUGGUAACUCGGUCCCAUUUCCACUCAGGAACUAACACAUGCUGCAAUAAACCUGAAGGUACCUGAUGUUUGACAUUUACUUGUUGACAGAUCAAGCAUCUAGAAACAAAUUUUGAAAUAUCUCUUUUCAUUCCUGCCCACUAGUACAUUUUCUUUAAAUCGUUAUACAUCUUUGUACUACCUCGAUGAAUAGACAAAGAACUGCUAUGUGCUUCUUGUAAGAUCUUUCGAAUAAGCUCAUCAUUCUUUGGUACACAUACUCUGUCACUGAACAUUAAACAACCAUCAGAACCGAUCUGAAAAUCAGACUCUAUUCCCAACUCGCAUUAAGCUCUUUUAGUUUGCAACUCACUGUCAUUUUUUUGAGCUUUAUAGAUUUAUUCAAGAAAUAUCGGUUUAGCCCUCAACUCAGCUAAAAUGGAACCGUCAUCUGAUAAAGCCAAACUCGUAUUGAAAGCUCUCAAUGCAAAUAAAGAUUUUCUACUCAAGGCAUCAGCAACAACAUUUGCCUUACCUGGGUGGUAGUCGAUCACUAACUCAUAAUAUUUAAUCAACUCUAGCCAUCUUCUUUGCCUCAAGUUGAAAUAUUUCCGCGUCAUCAAGUAUUUCAAACUUUUAUGAUUAGUAAAUAUUCGGCACUUCUCACCAUACAAAUGAUGUCUCCAAAUAUUCAACGCAAACACUAUGGCAGCCAGCUCUAAGUCAUGCGUCGAAUAGUUUUUCUCGUGUGGCUUUAACUGUCUGGAAGCAUAUACGAUGACUUUAUCUUCUUUCAUAAGUACACAACCCAAUCCGUUCAAGGAUGCAUCACUGUAAAUCACAAAUUCUUUACCCGGUUCUGGUUUUACUAAAAGAGGAGCUUCAGUCAACAAUGCCUUUAACUUGUCAAAACUCUGCUGACACUUCUCAGUCCAUUCAAACUUGACAUCUUUCUGCAACAAUCUAGUCAAUGGGGUAACUAUUAUGGAAAGUCCCUUUACAAAUCGUAUGUAAUAACCAAGAAAACUUCUAACCUCUAAUACAUUCCUGGGUGGUUUCCACUCAACAAUUGCUGAAAUUUUACUCAGAUCAACUUUAAUACCAUCACCUGAGACAAUGUGCCCAAGGAAUCUAACUUCUUGAAGCCAGAACUCACUUUUGCUAAACAUGGCAUACAACUGAUUGCCCCUCAAAAUUUGUAAAACUAUUCUCAAAUGUUCGGCAUGUUCAGUCUCAUCACGAGAAUAAAUCAGAAUAUCAUCAAUGAACACAACUAAAAAUUUAUCCAAGUAAGGUCUGAAAAUUUGGUUUAUUAAGUCCAUGAAAAUAGCAAGAGCAUUAGUCAAGCCAAAUGGCAUAACAAGAAACUCAUAGUGACCAUACUUAGUCCGGAAAAUAGUCUUCGGAACAUCUAAUUCUUUAACCUGCAACUGAUAGUAAUCGGAUCUCAAAUCUAUCUAGGUGAACACAGUGGCUCCCUUCAAUUGGUCAAACAUAUCAUCAAUUCUAGGCAGUGUAUAUUUAUUUUUUAUUGUUACUUUGUUUAGCUGCCGGUAAUCUAUACACAACCUCAUCGAACCGUCUUUCGUUUUCACAAAAAGCACUAGUGCACCCCACGGAGAACAACUAGGCUUGACAAAACCUUUAUCAGUUAAUUCCUGCAACUGAGCUUUCAAUUCUUUCAAUUCCAACGGGGUCAUUCUAUAAGGAGCAAUAGAAAUAGGAGUUGUACCUGGAAUCAACUCAAUACCAAAUUCAACUUCUCUAAAAGGAGGCAAACCUGUCAAUUUUUCCGGGAACAUAUCUAAAUACUCACAUACCACUGGCACUGAUUCAAUUUUCAACUCUGGAUCUUUAGUGUUCAAUACAAAAGCAAGAUAAGCUUCACACCCUUUUCUCAAACAUUUUUGAGCAGACAUAACAAAAAUCAUAGAGAGAGAACCAUCUGACUCAUUUGAAUCAACCCGGAUAAUAUCACCAUUUUCACAUUUCAACUCCAUGUAUUUCUUUCUGCAAUUUACUAUCACAUCAUGGGCAGUCAACCAAUCCAUACCAAGAAUCACAUCAAACUCAUCAAAUGACAAUAGCAAGAGAUCGGUCGAAAAACAAUGACCUCUAAUCAUCAAAGGGUAACUCUUACAUACUUUAUCUACUAACACAUACUGGCCUAAUGGAUUUGAUACUUUAAUUACAAAUUCAGUGGAUUCAUGGAGAGAGAACCAUCUGACUCAUCUGAAUCAACCUGGAUAAUAUCACCAUUUUCACAUUUCAACUCAAUGUAUUUCUUUCCGCAAUUUACUAUCACAUCAUGGGCAGUCAACCAAUCCAUACCAAGAAUCACAUUAAACUCAUCAAACGGCAAUAGCAUGAGAUCAGCCGAAAAACAAUGACCUCUAAUCAUCAAAGGGCAACUCUUACAUACUUUAUCUACUAACACAUACUGGCCUAAUGGAUUUGAUACUUUAAUUACAAAUUCAGUGGAUUCUAUAGGCAUGUUCAUACUAGGCAUCAAUCUCAUACAAACAUAAGAAUGAGUCGAACCCGAAUCAAUUAAAGUAAUAACAUUAGUAUCAUAGAGAGCAAAUGUACCCGUAAUCACAUUAGGGGAGGAUGCCUCUUCACGAGCACGGAUAGCGUAUGUCCUUGCGGGUGUUCUAACAUCUAGUCUAGCAGCUUUGUCUCUGGACAUACCCCUAUUACUUGCUCCAACUCUCGGGUUCCUCUGUUAUCUGCCUCUAAUAGGAGCAUUUCCUGGUCUCGCACUCAAUAUUACUUCUCUUUUAGUUGUUUUGGGAUAAUCCUAAAUAAAGUGGUCUGGUGCACCACAUCUGAAACAGGCAUUUCCAUUUGCUCUACACUCUCCGAGAUGACAUCUACCGCAUUGGGCACAUUCUGGCCUAGUGGGUCGAGUACUACCUAUACUUGCAACUGUAGUAGUUUGAGCUCUAGAACCCUCAAAUCUUUUGCCUCUGCUUCGACUAGAAUAUCUGGUUGGAAAAUUUGAUCCACUAGGGAACUCUCUAGGCCUCUUGGAAGUAGACUGAAAUGAUCUGCUCAUCUGCCUGUUCUUCGUCUCUUGAGCCUCAAUUUCAGCUUUGCCAUUUUCUUUUUCUUUUAACAAAUCCUCUACUUUACAGGCUCUCUCAACUAGAACAACAAACUCUUUUAUCUUUAGAACACCAACUGACAGUCGGAUAUCAUCAUUGAGCCUAUCCUCAAAUCUUUUACACAUAAUAGCUUCUUUAAAUACACACUCUCGAGCAUACUUACAGAGUCUGACAAAUUCACGUUCAUACUCAGUAACAGUCAUCUUACCCUGCUUUAACUCAAGGAACUCUUUUCUUUUCUGGUCAAUAAACCUCUAACUAAUAUACUUUUUACGGAACUCCUCUGAAAGAAAUCCCAAGUAACUCUCUCACUCAGUACAACUGACACAAGAGUCUUCCACCAAUGAUAGGCCGAAUCUCUAAGGAGUGAGACAACACACUUCAACAUUUCUCAGGUGUAUAGGAUAACUCAUCAAAUACUCUGAUAGUAUUCUCAAGCCAAAAUUCUGCUCUCUCUGCAUCAUCAUCAUUAGUAGCCCGAAACUCUUUAGCCCAUUGUUUUCUAAUCUUAUCAACUGGUGGCCUUUCUCUGAUAACUGUACUUAUACUUGUAACUAGGGGAGCUACAUGGGGAGUCUGAAAAUCAUGAGGGGGUGGAGGUCUAACAGCCGGAUUCGUAAGAACGAACUCGGUAAACCAUUCAUUCAUAGCUUGGAAGAAGGCUUUUCGAGCCCUUCCUCCCUGACUAACUGUAACGGGCCGUUCACUACCAUCUAGUGGUAGUGUCCCUUCUGCGGGAGCGAGCGCAUUACUUUCUACAUCAUUUGUACCAGCUCUUUCGGGAUCCAUAACUAUGAAAGAAAAAUAUUUUAAAAUCGUCAAGAUUCGUCACACUAUCAAAAUACAAGUAUGGCAUGUAUAGCUAGACUCUUUUUCAUAUUGAAUAUUUUGAGAACCGGCUAAACCUACUCUGAUACCAAAAAAUGUAACACCCCCCACACGAGACUGUUGCCAGAGUUGAGCACGAGGUGUUACCUGACUUAACUUACUAGCUCGGAGCAUAAAAAAAUUGCUUUUAAAAAUUAAUUCAUUUACAUUCAAUCAAUAGUCCCUAAAAGAACUCUCGAGACCCUAAAACAUACAAGAAAAAUGGUUCGGGUCCCAACUGGGAACAUUAAAAAAUUUCCGAUUACUUAAACAAAUAAAAAUAAUUUCUUUCACUAUUCACAAUAAAAUUGUCCACCUGCGCAGCAGUCACUAAAUUAAUUAUAAAUCGAGCUACAAAACUCGAAAUUUAGAUCCGUUAAUUUUCUUUGAAAAUAGACUCAGAUAUAUUUUUACCAUAAAUUUUUUCAGAAUUUUUGGUUUAGCCAAUUAGUACAUUUUAUUAGUUAAAUUCUCCCCUGUUUCACUGAUUGACUGUCCUGACAUCUUGUCACUAAAAUUUAAUUAUCUCAUUGUACAGACUUUAUAUGGUCUUCUCACUUGUUUCUAAAGAACAUAGACUCAAUAAAGAAUCUAUAUAUAUAAAUUACAACUCAUACAUAUUUUUGUACAAUUUUUAAUGAUUUUAUAAAGUUAGAACAGGGGAUUCCAAAAACCACUUUGACCUUGUCUAACUAAAAUGCAAAUAUCUCAGAAUACAUAAUUCCUUUGUCUACACUAUUAUUUUUCUAUGAAAAUAGACUCAAUAAGACUUAAUUCUAUAUAUAAUUCACCCUAUAAUUCAUUUUAUACUAUCCUUGAUGAUUUUUCAAAAUCACAUCACUACUGCUGUCUCAAAAUUGAUUCACUGCCAAUUUUUACUUUUUCAUGAUUUCUAUGCAUAAUUUAUCACCUAGACUUUUAUAACAACAAACACCUUCAUACUUAGCCAUUUUAAUAACUAUUCAUCAUCAAAUAUUUACAUAUCAUAUUUUGGUCAUAAUUUAAGAAUAUACAAUAGAAAUGACUACGUUCCUAUACAUGCCAUAGCUCGAAACAUUUAUCGUCUUAAAAUACCAAGUUGUAGUGGUUGAUAGUGUGAACGCUCUCCGACAUCUUCAAGAUCCCGACUAUGCUUGAUAAUAUUAUAUGAAAGAAAAAGAAAUAAAAGAAGUAAGCAUAAAGCUCAGUAAGUUUACAAGUAAAUAAAUAACAACAUUUAACACAAAUAAUGAUAUGCAAGUAUCAUGUUCUUAAGUUUCCUCUUUACUUACUCUCAUUUACUUGUUUAUUUACUUACCUAUUUAGUUAGCUUAAGAUUACAACUUACUCUUCUCUUGCUGAAAUGUUGGUUCUCACUGAUAUCAUAACAUAUUCUUACCUCUUAUAACUCACCUAAAGUUGCUAAUUAUACUUUUACUUGAACUUCCAUAGAACAUAAUCUGUUUUCUCGCCCGUUGAGCCACAUUAGAAUAAUAAGGAUACUUGGGUCUCUUUUCUGAUAAUAACAUGCCAAAGCCAUGUCCCAGACAUGGUCUUACAUGAGAUGUUUCUUGUACUACCAAUGUCAUAUCCCAGAUAUGAUCUUACAUGGGAGUUCUCAUAUCGGUGCCCAUGCCAUGUCCCAGACAUGGUCUUACGGGGGACCUCUCAUCUCGGUGCUAACGCCAUGUCCCAGACAUGGUCUUACAUGGGACCUCUCAUAACCUUAAUGAUGCCAAUGCCAUGUCCCAGACAUGGUCUUACAUGGGAUCUCUUUACCCAAAUGUCAUGACAUUUGUAUCCAAUACACUCCUAAUGUUUCAAGAGGGCUUUUAUCACUAAUUCUCUGUCAUCUCAUACUUAAGUCAACAUUAAAUAGUUUCAUGAAAUAAAUACAUAAUUGCUGGAAAAUAGCAGUAUUAAUAAUAAUUAUUUAAAUAUUGCAUUUAUUUACUGUAAACUUACCUCGGUACAAAAUUUAACCAAAUCUAGCAACUUAGUCCUCUAUCUUUUUCUUUCCCCAGUCUAACUCCGAAUUUUGCUCUUCUUGAUCUAUAAUAGCAAAUUUUGCUUAUUUAAUACUCACAUUCAUCAAAAAAAUCCUUGACUCGAACUUUGGAAAAAUUAUGAUUUUGCCCCUAAACUUUUGCGUAAUUACACUUUUGCCCCAAAGCUCGGAAAUUAAACUUCAUCUCUUAUUCUUCUGUUUUAUGAAAUGCUAAACAUUUUUCUCUUCUAUGACAACAUCAAAUUCCCACUCUAUCAUGUACUUAUGAACAUUAGGUAUUUUUACCGAUUAUAUCAAUAUACUUGUUUUCACUUAAAAUCGAAUAGCAAAAGUUGUUUAACAUAAUUUCAAGCUUCAUAUUAUACCAUAAAACAUCAAAAUAAACACAUUUCACCUAUGGGUAUUUUUACAAAUAUAAACCCUAGGUUAAAUUAUUGCUAGAAUAAGCUAAAUCAAGUUACUGAGACUCUAAAAACGUAAAGAACAUUAAGAACGGGGCUUGGGAUCACUUACUAUGGAGCUUGGAAGCUUGAAAACCCUAACUAUGGCUUCCCCCUUGCUAUUUUUGUUCACCAUGGAGAAGAUGAGCACAUUUUGCCAUCUUUUUCCCUUUUUAAUUCUUUUUAUUACUAAAUUACCAAAUUGUCCGUAACUUAAAAAUUUCCUAUUUCACUUAUCUCAUGUUCAUUUUUGUCUACCAACUUAACCAAUGGUCUAAUUACCAUAUAAGGACCUCCAAUUUAAAGUUUCAUAACGAUUGGACACCUCUAACAUGUAGAACUCAACUUUUGCACUUUUUACAAUUUAGUCCUUUUGACUAAAUUGAGUGCCCAAACGUCAAAAUUUUUGAACGAAAUUUUUACGAAAUCUUUCCGUGAAAUUGUAGGCCAUAAAAAUAAAGUAAAAAUAAUUUUUUUCCUCAUCGGAUUUGUGGUCUCGAAACCACUGUUCUUACUAGGCCCAUAAUCGGGAUGUUACAGAGGCAUCGAAGUGCAGACAGAGGCAUCGAAGUGCAAACAAAGACACCAAAGUGCAAUCCCGUACAAGCACGCUUACUGACCCUAUGGGCAUGCCAAUCGUACCUUAGUGAUUACUAUGUUCAACUGGACAAUUUACUAAAUUUUUCACUUUCACUUGACGUGCAUUUCCAUAGUAACCAUACAUAAUCAAUAAUUUCAAUAAGUUCACAUUAAGAUUUCAUCAUUUGUAAUUUCAUCCAUUUUCUCAAUCAAUAUAAUAUCUAUACUUACUCAUCAAUAGCCACUUCAUAUUUCAUCUUCAAAAUAAAUUAACUAACUAACACAGAAGCAACAUCAAUACUAAACAUAAUAUAAUAUAAUUCUUUUAUACUAUGAACUUACCUAUUACCAAUUUCGAUUAAAACACAAGGACCUACACCACAAUUUUCCCCUUUCCUUGGUUAUUGUCUUUUUGGCUCGGUUCUUGAUCUAUAUAGAAAUUAAAUUCAAUCUAUUAAAUUUCACAUUCAAUUUAAUGCAAAAGACCAUUAAAUUUUCAUUAAAUUACACAUUUUUCCUAAAAUUUUACAUUUUUGAUAGUUUAGUCCCUAAACCUAAAAUCUCCAAAUUUAGCAAAAUUUGCCAAACAUCCAAGCUAGCCGAAUUUACUACCAAUUUUGUAACACCCCUUACCCGUAUCCUUUGUCGGAAUAGGGCACGAGGCAUUACCGGAGUUUACUGAACAUUUUCAAUAAUUUUGAGUCAUUUAUUAUUCAUAUUUACAUAAUCUCAUAUUUACAUGUCAUAAAACAUAUCAUUUUCUUGUUGUUUCUUCUUAAAUAUAAAUUAUUCAAUUAAUUAUGAAAAUAUUUCAUGUACCAUAAUUUUUUUACAAGUUCAAUGUAUAUUUAUUCCAGAGGCAGUUCAUAAUCUUGAAUAUGCAUAAUUAUCAGGCAAGUUUCACAUACAUGUAUUUUCCAUGUCAUAUUUUAGUAUAUCACAUAAUUAUCAUUUCUAUGUAUUUCAAGUUUAAUUUCAUGAUUUUAAGUACUUAUCAUUUUCUAUUUUUAUCCCGUUGAAUUUCUCGAAAUUUCGAUGGAUUUUCAGAGGUACACUUUAGUGUACAAAUUUGGGUCCGUCAAUUCAUAUUCAUGUGCGCACAUUUCCAUUUUAGAGAGCACACUCCCGCGAACCUCAUCCUUAUAGCGGGAUUACCAGUCCAGGCUAAAUCCCCUGUAAUAUUAACUCAUAGAGUAUUGUCAGGAUUACCAGUCCAGGCUAAAUCCCCUGCAACGACAAUUACUCUAAUGAGCUUGGAUUUGAAUUACCAGUCCAGGCUAAAUUCAGACCCUAAUUCGGAUUACCAGUCUGGGCUAAAUCCAUUUUCCACAUAUUCUUCGGGAGGGUUAUAUCAGGAUAGGAUCACCCGUCCGGGCUAGAUCCUUUUUACCGUCAAUUCUUUUUCAGAGAUCCAUCGAAUUUUCCUUCCAUUCAAACAGGAUUUCUUCCCCUUUUUAUCAAAUAUAUCAAUGUUUCAUCAAUUUUCAUACAAUGAACAUUCAAAUCAUAUUCACAUCAAUAACAAACAUUUCAAGCAUUUAAGAAUAUAGUUCAAGUUACACGAACUUACCGGGCUAAAUUGCAGAAAUAUCAAAAUUUAGGGACAUUUUGGUAAAUUUCCAUUUUUCUCAAAUUUCCACCCAAAUCUUGAUCUAAAUUAAUAUUUCAUUCAAUUUAUUAAUUUAAAUGAUAAAACAAUUCAUUUCAUGCAAUUUGGUCAUUUUUGUCAUUUUUACAAAAUUACCCUUAAAAUUUUACUUUUAUUCAAUUUAGUCCCUGAACCUAAAACAUGUAAAUUAGCUAUUUUAAAAUAAACUCAUAUUAUCUGAAUAUUCACAUAUAUUAUUUUUCCUUCUCUUCCAUUCCAUUCCACAACCUUGAUAUAUAUAUUACCACUAUUUACUUGUUUACUCGUAACAAGUUCUUAACUUGAGUCAUAGCCACUAAAUUAAUUAUAUCUUAAGUUACAGAACUCCGAAUUGAGAUUAGUAAAUUUUAUAUGAAACUAGACUCACAUAUAUUCUUACCAUAAAAUUUUAAGAAUUUUUUAUUUCACAAAUAAGUACAGUUUAUUCUUUAAAGUCAUCUUUGUUCUGCCGUCUGACAGUUUCGACCCUUCUUCACUAAAAAAUUAAUUAUCUCCUUGUACAGGAUUCGGGCGAUGUUCUCGUUUGUUCCUUUUGAAAAUAUAAUUAUUAAGGAUUAUAAGAAUAUAAAUUAUAAAUCAUAAUCAUUUUUUUACAAUUUUUAAUGAUGUUCUAAAGUCAGAACAGAGGAACCCGAAUUCAUUCUAACCUUGUCUCACAAAAUUUAAUAUAUCUCAUAAUUUAUAAUUCCAUUUAUUACACCGUUUCUUCUAUGAGAAACUAGGCUGAAUAAGAUUUAAUUUCAUAUUUUUUUAUCCUCUAAUUAAAUUUCCACGAUUUAUGGUGAUUUUUCAAAGUUAACCGACUGUUGCUGUCCAAAACUGUUUUAGUGCAAAAUGUUGAUUACUAAAUUUAUAACACCCUUAUUCCCUUUCUCUAUAGUAUUUCUCAUCACUUUCUCUUAUUUUUCUUCACUAAAAGAUCAAGAACAUAGAACCUUAUAUAAUAAAACCCUACCUUAACAUCAAUUUCAUACUUUUUCAAUAAUUUCAAACUCAAAAAUAUAUUGAAAUCUUAAUGUUCUUACCUUAUGCUAUUGACUUCAAUCUUUAACUUGAUUUUCUCUCUCCUCCAGCUUCUAUUUCUUGAAUCUAAAUUUAUAUUAUAGCUCCCCAUUGUCUCUUUAAUAUUUUUCUCUCUUCGAAGCUAUGGAAAUUCUUUUGAUUUCUAGGUGAAAAUGGUGGAUUUUUGGUAAAAGGGACCAAAUUGUAAAGAAAAGAAAACUUUCUUUCUUUCUUCUUCUUCUCACGUUGGUGCAUGGGAAA